rnacentral:rRNA from 1 species
AUUGAACGCUGGCGGCAUGCUUUACACAUGCAAGUCGAACGGUAACAGGUCUUCGGAUGCUGACGAGUGGCGAACGGGUGAGUAAUGCAUCGGAACGUGCCCAGUCGUGGGGGAUAACGCAGCGAAAGCUGUGCUAAUACCGCAUACGAUCUAUGGAUGAAAGCGGGGGACCGUAAGACCUCGCGCGAUUGGAGCGGCCGAUGGCGGAUUAGGUAGUUGGUGGGGAAAAGGCUCACCAAGCCGACGAUCUGUAGCUGGUCUGAGAGGACGACCAGCCACACUGGGACUGAGACACGGCCCAGACUCCUACGGGAGGCAGCAGUGGGGAAUUUUGGACAAUGGGCGCAAGCCUGAUUCAGCCAUUCCGCGUGCAGGAUGAAGGCCCUCGGGUUGUAAACUGCUUUUGUACGGAACGAAAAGGCUCUGGUUAAUACCCGGGGCUCAUGACGGUACCGUAAGAAUAAGCACCGGCUAACUACGUGCCAGCCGCCGCCGUAACAC